UACGUAGGGUGCAAGCGUUGUCCGGACUUAUUGGGCGUAAAGAGCUCGUAGGCGGUCUGUCACGUCGGCUGUGAAAUCCCGAGGCUCAACCUCGGGUCUGCAGUCGAUACGGGCAAACUAGAGUAUUGCAGGGGAGACUGGAAUUCCUGGUGUAGCGGUGAAAUGCGCAGAUAUCAGGAGGAACACCGGUGGCGAAGGCGGGUCUCUGGGCAAUAACUGACGCUGAGGAGCGAAAGCGUGGGGAGCGAACAGG
rnacentral:rRNA from 1 species